rnacentral:lncRNA from 1 species
UUUUAUGCCUUUUUGAUUAUGCCAAAAAGGGGGAGAAAUUAUUAAAUAGCUCUGAUGAAAAUUAUGUCUAAAACCUUAAGCAUUCUGCAACAAUUAUAGAAAUAGUUCUGAUAAAAAUAGCUCUGAUUAAUUAAUAGCUCUGAUUAAAUAACUCUAACAUUAAUUUAAGAAUUUGCAGAAAGUUUCAGAAAUCUCAUUACUUGAAAAGCUCUGGUAAGAAC